rnacentral:rRNA from 1 species
UACGGAGGAUGCAAGCGUUAUCCGGAAUGAUUGGGCGUAAAGGGUCCGCAGGUGGCACAUCAAGUCUGCUGUUAAAGGACAGGGCUUAACCCUGUAAAUGCAGUGGAAACUGAAGAGCUAGAGUGUGGUAGGGGCAGAGGGAAUUCCUGGUGUAGCGGUGAAAUGCGUAGAGAUCAGGAAGAACACCGGUGGCGAAAGCGCUCUGCUAGACCAGAACUGACACUGAGGGACGAAAGCUAGGGGAGCGAAUGGG